CUAUCAUGCUGAAUAUACCGGUUCUCGUUAGAUCAUCGAAGUCAAGCAUCAUUGGGCGCGGUCGGUACUUGGGUGGUGACCACCUGGGAACACCGCGUGCCGUU
rnacentral:rRNA from 1 species